AAGUAGUAAAUACUUUGGUGGCGACCGGCGCACGGGUGAGUAACGCGUAUGCAACCCAUCUAUCAGAGGGGAAUAACCCGGCGAAAGUCGGACUAACACCGCAUAAAACAGGGACACCGCAUGGUGAUAUUUGUUAAAGAAAUUCGCUGAUAGAUGGGCAUGCGUUCCAUUAGGUAGUUGGUGAGGUAACGGCUCACCAAGCCGACGAUGGAUAGGGGAACUGAGAGGUUGGUCCCCCACACUGGUACUGAGACACGGACCAGACUCCUACGGGAGGCAGCAGUGAGGAAUAUUGGUCAAUGGGCGAGAGCCUGAACCAGCCAAGUCGCGUGAAGGAAGAAGGAUCUAUGGUUCGUAAACUUCUUUUGCAGGGGAAUAAAGUGCAGGACGUGUCCUGUUUUGUAUGUACCCUGAGAAUAAGGAUCGGCUAACUCCGUGCCAGCAGCCGCGGUAAUACGGAGGAUCCGAGCGUUAUCCGGAUUUAUUGGGUUUAAAGGGUGCGUAGGUGGUUUGAUAAGUCAGCGGUGAAAGUUUGCAGCUUAACUGUAAAAAUGCCGUUGAAACUGUCGGACUUGAGUGUAAAUGAGGUAGGCGGAAUGCGUGGUGUAGCGGUGAAAUGCUUAGAUAUCACGAAGAACUCCGAUUG
rnacentral:rRNA from 1 species